CCUACGGGUGGCAGCAGUGAGGAAUAUUGGUCAAUGGACGAGAGUCUGAACCAGCCAAGUAGCGUGAAGGAUGACUGCCCUAUGGGUUGUAAACUUCUUUUAUAUGGGAAUAAAAUGUUCCACGUGUGGGAUUUUGUAUGUACCAUAUGAAUAAGGAUCGGCUAACUCCGUGCCAGCAGCCGCGGUAAUACGGAGGAUCCGAGCGUUAUCCGGAUUUAUUGGGUUUAAAGGGAGCGUAGGUGGAUUGUUAAGUCAGUUGUGAAAGUUUGCGGCUCAACCGUAAAAUUGCAGUUGAAACUGGCAGUCUUGAGUACAGUAGAGGUGGGCGGAAUUCGUGGUGUAGCGGUGAAAUGCUUAGAUAUCACGAAGAACUCCGAUUGCGAAGGCAGUUCACUGGACUGCAACUGACACUGAGGCCCGAAAGUGUGGGUAUCAAACAGGAUUAGAUACCCUAGUAGUC
rnacentral:rRNA from 1 species